AUGAAAUUCAAUCCCUCUGUGACUUCCAAUCGAGGCAAGAACUGCAAAAGGCAUUUCAAUGCAACUUCCAACAUUAGCAGGAAGAUUAUGUCUUCCCCUCUUUCCAAAGAGCUGAGACAGAAGUACAAUGUGUGAUCCAUGCCUAUCUGAAAGGUUUUGAUGAAGGUCAGGUUGUAUGAGGACACUAUAAAAGUCAGCAAAUUGGCAAAGUAGUCCAAGCUUACAGGAAGAAACAUGUCAUCUACAAUGAAUGGGUGCAACGGGAAAAGGCUAAUGGCACAACUGUCCACGUAGAUGUUCACCACAGCAAGGUGGUUCUCACUAGGCUAAAACGGGACAAAGAUGGCAAAAAGAUUCUCGAACAGAAAGCCAAAUCUCGCCAAGUAGGAAAGGAAAAGGGCAAAUACAAGGAAGAAACAAUUGAGAAGAUGCAGGAAUAAAGUAAUCUUAUAUACAAGCUUUGGUAAAAACUUGAAACAAAAAAAAUACAAACCUUGAUCUCAAUCUAUAGGUUUCCUUUUGCUGGCCAACUGAGAUUUAGUAUGUAUUGGAUUGUAGUUGUAGGACGAGGGACAGGAAAAAAGGUUUUAAAAAGCUUUAAAAUAAGCUACAUUAAAAUGAUCAUAAAAAACACAACUUUUUACUUUAGCAAAUAUAAAAUUUCCGAGGUUACAUUUAGAAGCCUUAUCAAAAGUAGAGGAGCAAAGAUACCAGACAUAAAUUAAUCAUAAGAUCCAGUUCAAGCAUUUCAAUCACAGGAGAAAACUAUAAAUUGUAAUUUAUACAAAGUCUAGCUCUAUUGCCAAGGCUGGAGUGCAGUGGCGCGAUCUGGGCUCACUGAAACCUCUACCUCCCAGGUUCAAGCGAUCCUCCUGCCUCAGCUUACCAAAUA